rnacentral:rRNA from 1 species
AGCAAUCCUGGUGGCGAGUGGCGAACGGGUGAGUAAUAUAUCGGAACGUGCCCAGUCGUGGGGGAUAACGCAGCGAAAGCUGUGCUAAUACCGCAUACGAUCUACGGAUGAAAGCGGGGGAUCGCAAGACCUCGCGCGAUUGGAGCGGCUGAUAUCAGAUUAGCUAGUUGGUGGGGUAAAGGCCUACCAAGGCGACGAUCUGUAGCUGGUCUGAGAGGACGACCAGCCACACUGGAACUGAGACACGGUCCAGACUCCUACGGGAGGCAGCAGUGGGGAAUUUUGGACAAUGGGCGCAAGCCUGAUCCAGCAAUGCCGCGUGCAGGAUGAAGGCCUUCGGGUUGUAAACUGCUUUUGUACGGAACGAAAAGGUCUUUCUUAAUACGAGAGAUUUAUGACGGUACCGUAAGAAUAAGCACCGGCUAACUACGUGCCAGCAGCCGCGGUAAUACGUAGGGUGCGAGCGUUAAUCGGAAUUACUGGGCGUAAAGCGUGCGCAGGCGGUUUUGUAAGACAGAUGUGAAAUCCCCGGGCUCAACCUGGGACCUGCAUUUGUGAC